GUGAAUCAUCAAAUUUUUGAACGCAAAUUGCACUCUCUGGUAUUCCGGAGAGUAUGCCUGUUUGAGGGUCAGUUUAAAUAAAAAUCGGGGCUUUUGCCUCCUUUGGUGGCCACGCGCCGGAAUUGGGUCGUCGUUACUUCUCGGUUAAGAGACUUAAAAUUUUUGAAUCAUAUCUGAACGUAUUUAAAUUUAUUAGGUACGACUUGUAUUAUUGAAUGUUUAUUAGAAGUGGUCAUCCUCAUGACUCA
rnacentral:misc_RNA from 1 species